rnacentral:rRNA from 1 species
CCUACGGGUGGCAGCAGUGGGGAAUAUUGCACAAUGGGGGAAACCCUGAUGCAGCGACGCCGCGUGAGUGAAGAAGGAUCUAGGUACGUAAAGCUCUAUCAGCAGGGAAGAAAAUGACGGUACCUGACUAAGAAGCAAAGGCUAACUACGUGCAAGCUGCGGCGGUAAUACGUAGGGGGCAAGCGUGAUACGGAUUUAUCGUGUGUAAAGGGAGCGUAGACGGCAGCACAAGUCUGGAGUGAAAUCCCGGGGCUUAACCUCGGAACUGCUUGUGAUACUGUGCGGCUGGAGUGCAGGAGGGGUAAGCGGAAUUCCUAGUGUAGCGGUGAAAUGCUUAGAGAUUAGGAGGAACACCGGUUGCGAAGGCGGCUUACUGGACUGUUACUGACGUUGAGGCUCGAAAGCGUGGGGAGCAAACAGGAUUAGAUACCCGGGUAGUC